rnacentral:misc_RNA from 1 species
UCCGGUUUGACACCGGCAGUCUCGCAUGAGUCCCCAACUAAAUGCUGGCAACAUGCGACGGGGGUUGCGCUCGUUGCGGGACUUAACCCAACAUCUCACGACACGAGCUGACGACUGCCAUGCACCACCUGUGAUCGUGCCCCGAACUGACCCCGUGUUUCCACGGGUAUGAUCCACAUGUCAAGCCCAGGUAAGGUUCUUCGCGUUGCGUCGAAUUAAACCACAUGCUCCGCUGCUUGUGCGGGCCCCCGUCAAUUCCUUUGAGUUUUAGCCUUGCGGCCGUACUCCCCAGGCGGGGCGCUUAAUGCGUUAGCUACGGCACGGAUCCCGUGGAAGGAAACCCACACCUAGCGCCCACCGUUUACGGCGUGGACUAC